UGGGGAAUAUUGCACAAUGGGCGCAAGCCUGAUGCAGCCAUGCCGCGUGUGUGAAGAAGGCCUUCGGGUUGUAAAGCACUUUCAGCGGGGAGGAAGGCGGUGAGGUUAAUAACCUCAUCGAUUGACGUUACCCGCAGAAGAAGCACCGGCUAACUCCGUGCCAGCAGCCGCGGUAACACGGAGGGUGCAAGCGUUAAUCGGAAUUACUGGGCGUAAAGCGCACGCAGGCGGUCUGUCAAGUCGGAUGUGAAAUCCCCGGGCUCAACCUGGGAACUGCAUUCGAAACUGGCAGGCUAGAGUCUUGUAGAGGGGGGUAGAAUUCCAUGUGUAGCGGUGAAAUGCGUAGAGAUGUGGAGGAAUACCGGUGGCGAAGGCGGCCCCCUGGACAAAGACUGACGCUCAGGUGCGAAAGCGUGGGGAGCAAACAGG
rnacentral:rRNA from 1 species